AAUCGAUCUCUCCCACAUAAACCUAGGGUUUCGCCUCUCCAGUCCGCUUCUUCUUCUUCUUCUUCUUCGCUGGACAUCUCCUAGAUUUGCUGCUUCUGCUGCUGCUGCUGGGGCUCACAGAUCUAAGACGGCUCUCACUUCCCAGCUCUGCUCUUCGCUCUCUUGCUCUCCACCAUGUUCUGGAAGCUCACCUCUCUCUCCGCCUCCUCGCCUGUGGAGACGGUGCUAGACAAGGAGAAUUUUACGUUGGAAGAGCUUCUGGAUGAAGAAGAGAUUAUCCAAGAAUGCAAAGCCUUAAACACUCGACUCAUUAAUUUUUUGCGGGAUAGUGCCCAGGUGGAGCAAUUACUCCAUUAUAUUGUUGAAGAGCCUCCCAAGGAUGCUGAAAGCAAACGAACCUUCAAGUUCCCCUUCAUUGCGUGUGAGGUCUUUACAUGUGAAAUUGAUGUAAUUCUAAAGACUUUGGUGGAGGAAGAGGAGCUCAUGGACUUACUCUUCUCCUUCUUAGAACCAAAUCGUACUCAUAGUGCCCUGCUGGCUGGGUAUUUUAGCAAGGUCGUUGUAUGCCUUAUGAUACGGAAGACUGUCCCACUUAUGAAUUAUGUUCAAGCCCAUCAGGAUGUUUUCCGGCAACUAGUUGAUUUGAUAGGGAUUACAUCUAUCAUGGAGGUUUUGGUUCGACUUGUUGGCGCGGACGACCAUGUGUACCCCAAUUUCAUAGAUGUGAUGCAAUGGUUAGCUGAGAGUAAUCUGCUAGAGAUGAUUGUUGACAAAUUGAGUCCAUCUAAUCCUCCCGAAGUUCAUGCUAAUGCAGCAGAAACACUUUCUGCUAUAACUCGAAAUGCCCCAUCCGCACUAGCCAACAAACUUUCUAGCCCAAGUUUCGUCACAAGGAUAUUUGAGCAUGCAUUGGAAGAUUCAGCUUCAAAGUCUGGUCUUGUAAACUCACUUUCUGUCUGCAUAUCUUUGUUGGAUCCCAAAAGAUCAGCAGCUUCAUCACCCUUGUUUCAUUCUUUUCGGAGCCAACAUAUGUACGAGUCUCCUAUCCCUGUUAAUCCAGACACUGUCAGUGCAAUGCUCCCAAAACUCGGUGAUUUGCUUACACUUUUGAACGUGGCAUCGGAUGAGCAAGUAUUGCCGACAACAUAUGGAGAGCUGAGGCCUCCACUUGGAAAGCACCGUCUAAAGGUUGUGGAAUUCAUUGCUGUUUUAUUGAGAUCUGGCAAUGAAGAUGCAGAAAAAGAACUGGUUAGCUCGGGAACCAUCCAACGGGUCAUUGAUCUUUUCUUUGAGUAUCCAUUCAAUAACUCAUUGCAUCAUCAUGUUGAUAGUAUCAUAAUGUCAUGUUUGGACAGCAAGAGUGAUGCCAUUGUGGACCAUCUUCUUCGAGAGUGUGAUUUAUUGGGGAAGUUUCUCCAAACAGAUAAACAUCCUCUUGUUUCUGGUGAUACCAGCAAGCCAACAAUGCCUGCUGUGGGGAAAAAGAUUCCACGGGCAGGAAACCUUGGACAUAUAACAAGAAUUUCAAAUAAGCUCAUUCAGUUGGGAAACAGCCAAAGCCGUGUCCAAGCAUGCCUGCAGGAAAAUAGUGAAUGGAAUGAGUGGCAAGUCACAGUUCUGCAAGAGCGCAAUGCAGUUGAAAAUGUUUAUCGAUGGGCCUGCGGGCGGCCAACUGCCUUACAAGACAGAACAAGGGAUAGUGAUGAUGAUGAGAUGGCUGACAGAGAUUAUGAUGUAGCAGAGCUAGCAAACAAUCUAAGCCAGGCUUUUAGAUACAAAAUAUAUGGGAAUGAGGAUGCAGGGGAGGACAAUGGAACUCUUGAUAGAGAUGACGAGGACGUGUACUUUGAUGAUGAAUCUGCUGAAGUGGUCAUAUCAUCCCUGAGGCUCGGUGAUGACCAUGGGAGCAGUUUAUUCACAAAUUCAAACUGGUUUGCAUUCCAAGAUGAUAGAAUUGGCAAUACAUCUAUGGAUGCAUCACCCUCAGACAUGAUGGACGAUGUAAACUUGAAUGGGACUGGGAAUGGUGGAAACAGUAGCAGUGAUGAUGAGGUUGUUGUAGGGGAGGAUGAUGAGUUGAAUGGAAGUAAAGACUCUGUCAAUGACACAUCCAGUUCCAGCAAAGACCAGUUGAAUGGACCGAGUGGGAGUGGUUCCAUGAGUGAUGGAAACCUGAAUCCGGAGGGAGAGAAUGCAAGUGCCUCGCAUGAUAUGGGGUUCUUCAGAUUCGAGUCAACUGACAAUGAGGAUUUGUUUGGCGACAGGCCUUUGCCUGAAUGGGUAAGUUGGGGUGAAUCAUCUGAUUUGCAAGUUGGUGGUGCAAGUGUAAAUCCAUUUGAGGAUCACAAUGACUCUGAUGUGAUGUCUUCCACUCAACCUGAGCUAGUGAUACCAGAUACUAAUUUGCCUUCAAGUGGAGGAGAAUCUAUACUUCCAAAUGGUUCUCCAACCACCACUAAUACUUUGAGUGAAGGGUCAGAGGGCAGCGAUGUGACCCAUAGAUCAACUGCUGUACCAUCAUUGUUUGAAGAGGAUGUUGAAUUUGUUGGUGUGGAACUAGUAGGUACCGAGAAGGCAAUGGAUCAGGCUCUCAAAGAGGGAAUAGUUGGGGAGGCUGGGCCAUUGAAGAAAAACUUCACGUCAAAGGUGCCAGAAAAGGAAAAUUCGGAUGAGGGUGGGCCAGAAAGUAAGGAGUUCAAUGAUGCCAAUUAUUGGCGUGUCGAUCAGGAGGUUGCUGUUCUGGAGUAAUUAUAGGUUGAUGAUCCUGCCUGGGUUUGCAAAUCCGAAAUUGGAUCUGACGGCCACAGAUCCGAUUUUGGGUUGGAAGCGCCGAAGUGGCUUGCACCAGUCAUGUACAGUAUUACGUUUGUUACGAAAUGGGAUCAAAUGGUCCAGUUCUUUCUUCUUUUCUUUAUUAUGGCCGAAAUCAUUCUUAAAGUGGAACCUGGACUCCUUUAUUGGUUAGGUAUUCUUGUUCUAUACUAGAAGUUUUGAUAUUAAUGUAUUUCCUUGUCUUUCACUGAAUAAUUAGCUGGCAAAAACGUUGGAAUUUUUGCUCUAAUGUUUAGGUUAUCUUGCCAUCUGAUAUUGGUCGUUAUUUGAGAUUUGCAUGGAACCUUUGUCUGUCAAGUAGCUCUGAAGUACACCUUUUUUUAGUCACAA